rnacentral:rRNA from 1 species
UACGUAGGGUGCAAGCGUUGUCCGGAAUUAUUGGGCGUAAAGAGCUCGUAGGCGGUUUUGUCGCGUCUGCUGUGAAAACUCGGGGCUUAACUCCGGGCCUGCAGUGGGUACGGGGCAGACUAGAGUGCGGUAGGGGGAGACUGGAAUUCCUGGUGUAGCGGUAAAUGCGCAGAUAUCAGGAGGAACACCGGUGGCGAAAGGGCGGGGUCUCUGGGCCGUAACUGACGCUGAGGAGCGAAAAGCGUGGGG